UCCAUUAAUAAAGGACUAAAUGGAUAAGCAUUCAUACAUGAACCUCAUGUUGACCAAAAAAAUAUGAACCUCAUAUCUUGGGACCAAAAAUCAGCCUAAGUUAGACCACCAAAGAUUUCAAGGCCUAUUGUAUAAUUAAUAAUUUGAGAGGGAGAAUUGUUUAUCCCCAUCACAUGUUAUCUUCUCUAUCUUGUGGUUACUACUAUAUUCAUCAAUAAAAGUGAAACGUACUUCAACGUUAUGUACACUUAGUACUUUAGAGACUUAAGUAGUGUCCGAGAGUAUGCAUGGGGUAUUGUUGCUCUUGCUUUUUUGUAUAGUCAGCUAGGAGAUGCUAGCAAAUCCAAAACGAAACAAUUAGUUGGUUCCUUGUCCUUGCAUCAGAUCAUGCAACAUUUUCCUACUAUAUACAACGGACUUUACAAGCUGAAUAUGAUAAGCUUUUUCCAUGUGCAUGUAUGUUCAUUCCAUAUCGAGGUCAUCUACGGGUAGAGAUAUGCAUGAAUACACUGGAUCAAUUGGAGGUCCACGAUUAUUGAUUGAAGAUCAUAUGCAUUUGAUCUACAUCUGUUUGUUGCAUCUGCAUUUGAGUGUCAUUUUGCAUAGCACUUGCAUUUAUGAAAAAGUCUUGCAAUUCACCCUUGUUUUGAGAGGCUUAAAAUAUGGUCUGUUCCAUUAGGCUUAACAUCAUGAGAAGAAAAAUAAUUCAAAUGCUUUACAUCCUAAGAAUUGUGAACUAUUAAUAAUAGACUUCAUAAUAAUCCAAAGGCAUCCUAAGAAUAUGUUAAUUCUUUUUGGAAAGUCUUGUCAAAUUUAUAAUUAUGUAUUUGUGUGUUUA